rnacentral:sRNA from 1 species
GCGAUGAGCUGAAUUGUGUAAGUCGAUAGGCAUGCAAUGUGUAAUGUGGGACACAGUCUAUCGCCUCAAUACGUAAAAAAGACGUCUAUCUGGCGUCUUU